UUGAUUUGUUAGGUUGGUGGAAGUUAAAUGGGGUUAAGUAUCCUACAUUGUGUUUGAUUGCAAAAGACAUAUUAGCCAUUCCUAUCUCCACUGUUGCUUCAGAGUCUUCUUUUUCUACAAGUGGUAGAAUCGUUAGUCCACAUAGGAGUAGACUUCUUCCGUCAACAAUUGAAGCUAUCAUAUGCACUCAAAAUUGGCUAUGGGCGGGUAAAAAAGGUUGUGUUAUUGAUGGUGAUGAUGUACAUUCCGAUGAAGACGAUGAGGGACUUGAGGGAGGAUAUUCGAAUGUCAGUGAAUGAAGAGUUGAAGGAAAUUAACGGAUACUGAAGAUGUAGUGAAUUGUGUUUUAUAUUUGUCAUUUUGGAUUUGUUGUAUUUUGCAUUUGUAAUGUUAGAUUUGUAUUCGUAA